GAAGGCUUUCGGGUCGUAAAACUCUGUUGUUAGGGAAGAACAAGUGCUAGUUGAAUAAGCUGGCACCUUGACGGUACCUAACCAGAAAGCCACGGUAACUACGUGCCAGCAGCCGCGUUAAUACGUAGAUGGCAAGCGUUAUCCGGAAGUAUUGGGCGUAAAGCGCGCGAGGUGGGUUUCUUAAGUCUGAUGUGAAAGCCCACGGUUCACCGUGGAGGGUCAUUGGAAAGUGGGAGACUUGAGUGCAGAAGAGGAAAGUGGAAUUCCAUGUGUAGCGGUGAAAUGCGUAGAAAUAUGGAGGAACACCAGUGGCGAAUGCACUUUCUGGUCUGUAACUGACACUGAGGCGCGAAAGCGUGGGGGCAACUGGUUUAGUACACUGGGAGUAAAAUCUAUGGGGG
rnacentral:rRNA from 1 species